GGAGCCGUCCCGACAGCCCCCGCGGCCCUGCGUCCUGCCACGCUCCGCCGGUGAGGCGGGGCCGGACCGCAGGAUUGACAGCCGGAGGCAGCGGCCUCCGCCAAUGGCUGCCGUGCUCGCUCCUUGGGCUCAAAGAGCCGCCACGGCUGUUUGAAUCACUGCGUUCUUCCCGGAGAGGGGCGAGGGGAGAGGGUGGCAGUGUCUGUCUAGGGAGAAGUACACAGAGAAAGAUUGUGAAUUCAUGACUAGACUACACCAAGC